GUAUGGGGACGACCCCAUGCUGCGCCUAUCGACGGGGACGGCCCC
rnacentral:ncRNA from 1 species